AACCGAACUGACUUAAUAAAUAGUACCGCUCCUUCCUUCUCGCACUUGCUUCUUUUGUAAACUGAACCGAACCGAACCGUCUCUUUUAAACCGAACCGUCUCAAUGAACUAUACGGCUUCCCUCUCUCACAGAUCGAAUCGCCUCCCUCUCAUUUUCAGUUUUUUUUACGACAGGAGCGUUUCAUCUUCCUGCUCCUUGGCGUUGUUUCUUCUUCCCCUUUCGUUGUAGCAUUUCCUCUCCUUGAUCCUCAACCUCUCCUCCUUCUCCGCCUCCGCCUCCUCCUCCGCCGCGAAUGGGAGCGACACCGCCGCUGCUAUAUCUCUCUCUCUUUAGGGUUUCCACUUCUCGAUCUUAUUGCCUUAUCAAGGGUUUUGGUUUUCGUAUUGUUUAGGAUGGAUUCUAAAAAUUGAGGGUUAAUUAUUCCUAAUAUAUUUCUCCGCCUCCGCCUCCACCUUCUCCUCUGCUACGAACGGGAGCGACGCCGCUGCCGCCAUAUCUCUCUCUUUAGGCUCUCAUCAAUCAAGACAAACUAACCGCAUUGUUAUAUGUAACACCCAUGUUCUUUACAGGGGAGAAAUCAAACUUGGUCAGACUUUAGUGAGGCUUCGGUUUCAAAAACUAUUGCUCAGAGUAAUGUCGAUGAGGCUUGUGACUAAUGCAAAUGUCAAAAUUCUCCAUAUACUCAGACGAUCAAGAGAGAUUUGGUUAGAUACUAUCUUUCAUAUAUAUUCUAUCGUGCAAGGUAAAGUAGCCAGGGCAAAUAGCAUGACUAUUAGCCAUUCCCAUGCUAUCAAUUGGAUAUCUAGAAAGGUAAAGUUAUCUAAGUAUGCCUUCUUUUUAGUGAGCUUUGGGUUUAGGGUUUGAACAAUCCUGUGGUUUGUUCUGAAUUUUCAUAAAAUAUCCAAAAGCAUUAUGCUAAUGUUUGCUUCUGUAUUAGUUGAAAUUCUGAUUUUGACCUAAAAUCUAUCUUCAUAUUGCAAUAUAAUUAUUAUGUCUUAACUAA